UCCAGACUCCUACGGGAGGCAGCAGUGGGGAAUAUUGCACAAUGGGCGCAAGCCUGAUGCAGCCAUGCCGCGUGUAUGAAGAAGGCCUUCGGGUUGUAAAGUACUUUCAGCGGGGAGGAAGGGAGUAAAGUUAAUACCUUUGCUCAUUGACGUUACCCGCAGAAGAAGCACCGGCUAACUCCGUGCCAGCAGCCGCGGUAAUACGGAGGGUGCAAGCGUUAAUCGGAAUUACUGGGCGUAAAGCGCACGCAGGCGGUUUGUUAAGUCAGAUGUGAAAUCCCCGGGCUCAACCUGGGAACUGCAUCUGAUACUGGCAAGCUUGAGUCUCGUAGAGGGGGGUAGAAUUCCAGGUGUAGCGGUGAAAUGCGUAGAGAUCUGGAGGAAUACCGGUGGCGAAGGCGGCCCCCUGGACGAAGACUGACGCUCAGGUGCGAAAGCGUGGGGAGCAAACAGGAUU
rnacentral:rRNA from 1 species